rnacentral:misc_RNA from 1 species
GGAAGUAAAAGUCGUAACAGGUUUCCGUAGGUGAACCUGCGGAAGGAUCAUUAUUGUAUAACCGAGGUGCGAGGGCUGUCGCUGACCCGAAAGGUCGUGCACGCCCGAGUGCCCUCACACACAUCCAUCUCACCCCUAUGUGCACCACCGCGUGGGUCCCCCUUUGGCUUGUUCGGAGGGGGGCUUACGUUUUCACACAAACUUUGUAUGCAGUGUAGAAUGUAUUUUUUGUUUUUGCGAUCACGCAAUCAAUACAACUUUCAACAACGGAUCUCUUGGCUCUC